rnacentral:rRNA from 1 species
UACGGUAGGGGGCUAGCGUUGUCCGGAAUCGAUUGGGCGUAAAGCGCGCGUAGGCGGCCCGGUAAGUCCGCUGUGAAAGUCAAAGGCUCAACCUUUGAAUGUCAGCGGAUACUGCCGGGCUAGAGUCCGGAAGAGGCGAGUGGAAUUCCUGGUGUAGCGGUGGAAUGCGCAGAUAUCAGGAGGAACACCGGUGGCGAAGGCGGGUCUCUGGGCCGAUACUGACGCUGAGGAGCGAAAGCGUGGGGAGCGAACAGG